rnacentral:lncRNA from 10 species
UGAAAGUGAGGUCAUCAUUCGUUUCAGGAAGUUGAGUGAGGCCUGAGACAGCAAUGUUUCGUUUAGCCUGGCGGUGGCCCUCCUUGUCUUCAAGAAGAGCAUCCGUGGCUAGCAGUGGAAGAUGGGGUUGGGCCCCAGGACUGACCAGGCAGUUCUGCCACCUUCUAGGAGUGUGAAAUUGGGAAGUAAUUCAAAAUGUAUGUGCCUAGCAUUCCUUUUAUGUAACAUGAGGGGAAUAGAAGUACCAAACCGAUGCAGUUCAGUGGAGAAUUAAAUGAGAUAGUCACAAGUAAAAGGUGAUGGUCACAGGAAUGAGGAAAGAAUGACUCUGGCUCCUAGCAGCAGAAUCUUAACUGAGUAUGACUUAGCAUCCUUCUUCUUGCUGUGUCAUCUCUCUUCUCAGGGCAGAAGAUAUUUACUAAUUAGCACAUUCUGCUAGCACAUCUGUGGGAAAAGAGACGCGAUCUUACUGCAUUGACCAGGAUGGUCUCAAACUCCUGGCUACAGGCUAUCCUCCUGCCUCUGUCUCCCAAAGCGCUGGGAUUACAAGCGUGAGCCACCAGGCCUGGCCCAAUUGCUUCUUAACAACUUACUAUUCUUUGUUCACUACAGUGUAUACAUAACUGACUUUUUAUUUGGAUCUUCAUUUUGUAAUGAAGGCUCUGGUCACAUGUAAGACUUGUAUUAAAUAAAUUUGCCUGCUGUUCUGUUAAUCUGUGUUAUGCUAAUUUAAUUCUUGAGCCCAGCUGGGUCCUGGAGAGGAUAGAGUGAAAUUUUGUGGCAGCUACGUAAGUCAAUGAAAUUGGAAACAGAAAAACAAUCUUUAAAAAUCAAUAAAAUCAUAAACUUAUUCUUUGAGAAGAUCAAUAUAGUUUAUAAACCUUUCAACUGACUCACCCACAGGGAAAAAGAAGAAAACAAAAAUCAGGAGGGAGGGAAUGUUAUUACAAAUUUUGCGGAUAUUAAAAGGAUUAUAAGGGAACAUUACAAACAACUCCUUGUCCAUAAAUUGAUCAAUUUACAUGACAUGGAAUAUUACUUGAAAGGCACAAACUACCAAAGCUCACUCAGGAAGAAUGGAUAACCUAGAUACUUGCGUGUAUGUAUGUGUGUGCAUACAUACAAUUUUUACACACACACACACACACACACAUAUAUAUAUAUAUAUGCACAGUUAAUUUUUUCUAUCUUUUGUAGAGAUGGGUUUUUACCAUGUUGCCUGGGCUGGUCUUGAACUCCUGGGCUCAAGCGCUCUGCCCACCUUGGCCUCCCAAAGUGCUGGGAUUACAGGCUUGAAACACUGCACCUGCCUGGCCUGAUAUAUAUUUCAAAACUGAUUUAAUAGAUAAAGCCUUCCAACAACAACAAUAAAAAAAACAAUAUUGAGAUGAAUUCAUUGGUGGAUUCUACUAAACAUUUAAAGAGUAAAGAUGUGAAUUUUAAAUAAACCCAGAAACAAAAAGAGAAGGGAACACCCA